rnacentral:rRNA from 1 species
GAUUCCCCUAGUAACUGCGAGUGAAGCGGGAAAAGCUCAAAUUUUGAAUCUGGCGGUCCCCGUGGCCGUCCGAGUUGUAAUCUAGAGAAGCGUCUUCCGCGCUGGACCGUGUACAAGUCUCCUGGAAGGGAGCGUCAUAGAGGGUGAGAAUCCCGUCUUCGACACGGACCCCCAGGGCUAUGUGAUGCGCUCUCGACGAGUCGAGUUGUUUGGGAAUGCAGCUCAAAACGGGUGGUAAAUUCCAUCUAAAGCUAAAUACAGGCGAGAGACCGAUAGCGAACAAGUACCGUGAGGGAAAGAUGAAAAGAACUUUGGAAAGAGAGUUAAACAGUACGUGAAAUUGCUGAAAGGGAAACGCUUGAUGUCAGUCGCGUCCGCCGGGGAUCAACCUUGCUUUCGGGCUCGGUGUAUUUCCUGGCUGACGGGUCAGCAUCAGUUUCGAUCGUCGUACAAUGGCAAAGGGAAUGUGGCACUCUUCGGAGUGUGUUAUAGCCUUUUGUCCCAUCCGGCGCUCGGGACUGAGGAACUCGGCACGACUCCGUUUGUGUCUAGGAUGCUGGCAUAAUGGCCUUAAGCGACCCGUCUUGAAACACGGACCAAGGAGUCUAACAUGCCUGCGAGUGUUUGGGUGCAAAACUC